AUUGUGUAUGUUCCCAUUCCGUGUUCAUCCAAAAAGAGGGAGAGGCGAGGGCUUAUUACCAGGCGUGAGAUAGUUCCAUGGUAUCUCCCUUGACCUAUAACCUAGAAAGGGUGGCCUGUGACACACUGUAUUUAAAGAGUUCAGCUCUAGAACUGACAAUUUACCAGAGAAACUCAAGAUACCGUACUUUCUGAGAAUUAAUUCUCAAGAUUAAAAACUCAGCAAGGAGUUCACCGUGAGAAGAAUUCAAUGAAGAACAAGUACUUUCAACAAAAGCCGAAUUUCAACUUUGAUUCACUGACCUGGGGAAAGACAUCAUCAGCCCCCAUGUCUUAGUUUGCCCAGAGAAGUCCCAGUUGGGUCUUGUGACCUCCUCACCCAGACCCCCUUUCAUCCGCAGAGUCCCAUUUUGGACAGUAUACUGCACAGUCACCCUGCAAAGAGGUGUCCACAUGCUAUGGCUUCCCCCACCCCCACCCCCGUGACAUGGUAGAACCAAAGGAAAAAGGAUAUUUUUACAAACUGAGAGGGGGCCCCCUUCUGUAGGAGGGGAAUUCUCCCAGCAUUUUCCAUUCAGAGACUAUCUGCUCCUACUCUAUGAGUUGGAAAUGUAGGAACUGACUAUUUUACAAUGCCUUUUUUAGUGUACAUCACUGUCUUGGUAUCAAAGACACACUGGGGCACACUUCCUUUCCUGGAGUCUCAUGGUUUACUUCCUUUACAUGACGCUUUAAUGUAUUUCCAUGCGAUAUAAAUUUAUGAUCAUAACCUUAUGGGCCUCCACUCAUUUGUUUAUCCAUGCGUCCAGUCAGCCAUUCAUCUGUUCAGGCAACACAUAUUCACUGAGACCUACUCUGUGUCUUAGGAUGUCACAGUGAGGAGGAUAGGGCCAGGACUCAGCCCACCAGAAGCAGGUGUCCAGUGCAAACAUAUAAAGAUGUACAAGUAACCACCAUUUGUGAAAAUUACGUGGAAGGAGAUAAGUAAGUUUUUCAUUUUCAGUUUUACUCCACAGAGCUAACGAAAAGGGAAAUGAAAGAGACAGAUACCUCUCCCCACGUGUUUCAUUAUUGAACAGCUCAUGUAUUUUAUACUGAAAGAGCUUCAGAAUAGGGUCUGAUGAGGACAUUCCAGUCACAGAGUUUUAGCCAAAUAGAAUGCAGACAUCUACACAACUAAAGUUCAGUUUAAAAAACAAAAACAAGGAGCCCAAGGCCAGACCAUCAGGAACUGUCCACACUCCAUUUGGCCCUGGCCGCUAAUUAACUUCCUCCAAAGGCCCCAGGUGUUCUUUUGCUCCAAAUCAAUACCCAUGAGGCCUGGUUCAGUCUUCCAUUUCAGUAGCUCCCCUUGUGGGUCCCUCAGAGAAAAUGAGGGCAGUGUUAGAAUUUUACAACCACAAAUGAGCUUUUCCACCUCACUUUGGAAACAUUGAGCCAUCCCUCCAAAGUUUGGAAGACGGAAAGACUGCUCAAGAAAAUCUGCUGGAAAAUUUGAGAGCUAAGAGAAAUGUCAGGAAUAUCAUCUUUCAUCAUGGAAUUUCUCCGCACUGCUGUGGUCUCCCGUGAGUCAGCAGGAGGAACUUGGCCACACUGCAGCGUCAGGCCUCAAAUCAGCAGGGCUGUGUCAGGGUCCUGGCCCCGGGGCGGGGGUGGGGGGAAUAUGUGGAGGGUAAGUUGCCAGCCCAGCGAUGCAGGCUGCUUUGAGUGUGUGACACUAACCCUCCUAAGCCAAGUUCAACCCCCCUGGGUUCUUGGCUGGGCUGUCUCUGAGAAGCUCAUCUGCCUUUGUUCUUUUUCCAACAUUUGCCUCCUGCCACUCUCCCCAAAACUUUCUCUUCAGUGCCAAGAGUGGGUCUCCUAGAGAACCAGAUGCCAUCCUUCCCCGAGACUUCCACGAAGGAUGGGAUAGGCCUUCAGUCACCCCACCACCUCCUCUUCCUCUCUACCACACAGUGACUUCCUGAGCAGACAUUGAAAGUAAUAGUUUGGUCCUAAUAGAGUAAGGGAUCCUGUAGUCAGUGGCCUUCCAUGAAGCCUCCUUUUUUUUUUUUUUUCUAAAUAUUUUAUUUAUGUAUUU